CAUUCCUUGUAACACGUCUGUUUAAUGUUACUAUAAUAAGUAUUUAUUCAAACUAAAAACAGUCGAACAUCGAGUUGAAAUUCACCCACCACCAAGGGAUCUCCUAACAGAGUCUCCAAUCUUUUUGUGUAAGUACCGAUUUUUUUUUUUACUGUAUUCAUUUCAUUACCUCCGUUUUUACCACAUUAUUAGACAAUGGUUUAACUCCGUUUAAGCAUUUAAACGUUAAAAGCAUUGCACGUGUACGACGAUGUAAUACCUUUUUUUUUUAACAGCCGAUGACGACGAAGUGAAAGACGAAGAACUUUGUUUGAUCGAUCUUACAAAGUUGGAAGAUGAUUAUCGAGAGGAUUCGCCGGAAGAGACCAACGCGAUCCCUUUAACCCAAUCGCAGUCUGAUUUUCCGUUUACAUCUCCUGCUCGCUGGUCUCCCUUAACGCUGGCGGGUCCGUCAACGGCCAUUCCAGGCAGAGGAGAAGGCUUGAUUGCGCCAAAGACUCCAGACAUCGAAUCCUUGCUCCGAGGGGAAAUCAUCGAA